AGAAGUCCUGGGGCCUCUGGUAUGUCCAGCUGUCUGCAAAUAUCACUCCAGUUUGGCAACCUGGGGAAGCACUGGCUGGGAACCCAGAGCAGAGAUAGCUGCCGCCCUGCAGGGAGCCUCCCCUGUCCGCUCGCCCCGCACUCACGCUGACGAUGGUGGAGACGAAGAGCAACACUAGCACCGCGAUGUGCAGGAACAGGAUCCCCAACAAGAGUAGGAGCAUGGUGGCUGGGAGUUGGGCUCGGGAUCAGAGGAGCGGUGCCUGCUGAGAGAGGAAGGCGGGUGUGAGGCCGCUGGCCCUGGCCCGGGGGCCCAGCUGGCCGGGAGGGGGCGGCCGCCGCCAUCCCUAUCCCCGCCCAGUGCCCGCCCGCAAUCGAACAUCUUUUGCCUUUGGAACAAAACAAGCAAGUGGUGCGCACGUCCCGAUCACCCCGGGAGGCGCGCGGAGGAGAGGAGUUUCCUGAACGAUGAGCCGAGGCCACAGCAAGCCUCCGCCCAGCCUGGGCGCCUUUCAGGGCCCUUGGGACUUGGGAGGCUACCGAGGCCACGUCCCUGACCCAGUCACAGGGUGGAUUCCCCCCGAGACUGGAGGCUCAGCGGGCGGCGCCAGGCUCACAGCCAGAGGCCUGGGGUCGCCCGCCACCCGAGGCUGGUUUCCCAGACCCCAGCGCGCCCCGCGUUCCGUUACUUGCCUCCAAGUUUCCACCCGUUUUUGCCAGCGGAGAGCAGCCGCCCCGCCCCCGGCUCGGCCUAGAUGCUGGCGGCUGGGGGAGCGGGAGAGCAGGCGGGCUGGAGGAUUGCCCGGCUCCGGAGCUUCCCGCGCGCAGGGUUCCGCGCCUUCCCUGCGCCCCGGGGGGUGAAGAGCCUUCAGCCCCGCCAGCUCCACAGGCACCCCCUGGACGGCCCCAAGGAGAGCUAGGCUGAGCCCGCCGCACUUGCGGACCCCUGUCCAAAGCCCCAUCCCGAAUAGAUGCGCCAGGGGCCCUAUCCCUUGGUUGCUGCUGACUGGAGGGAAGGAGACAGUGCGUAAAGAGGCUGAUUGAGUCUGAGAAUUCUCGCAAGUCAGAGCAGGCAAGACGUGUUUCCAAGGUCCGAAGAUACUAUCUCCUACCCUACCUCCCCCUCCACUUCAGACUUUAGGGAGCUAAAACUUGGGUGACCUGAUAGUGAAUGUGUACAGCCGUGAAAAUCUGGCUGCAGCUGAGUGAACCAGUUAAGGAUAGAACCUUAGACCAAGGAGACUUCUAAAUUAGUUUUGACAAGUAUUCUAUCCCAGACACGUCCAUUUUCCUCCCAAGGAACACAUCAAAGACAAAAAGCCAGGAAUGCACUGAAGAUAUAAGCAAGAUUUUCCCCAUGAUUUCCAGAAAAUUCAAAUUUCAUUGGAUGGCUUCAAGUAGCAGAGACCAAGAACACCAUAGGGCCUGCGGCUAGAACCCGAAGGACCAGAGACUCGUGUAUUUUAACAGUACAUCCUCUGGAAAGAAUCACAAGGCCGCCCCAGCAACCCUCUAUCCAGACACCGCCACCACCCUGGUCUGGACGAUGCAGAGGCAGUCCUAGGUGUGUCCCUCCGGUAGGCUAGGAUGUAGGAAGGGGUCUCCACGUUCUUGUCACAAGGCGGCCCUAUGGAGGGUCAGAGCCCCGUCCCCGCUUUAGGCAUAGCAUUUCCAGAUGAUGCCCAGCUUUAUGCCCCCCACCACCACCACCUUCUUCACUUUCCCUACCAACUUACUUUCAGUUCAAAGGGACAGCUAUCUCAGAGCAGAUUAGCCUCAGGCACAAACUCCGGUGCGUCCACUGGGUUGCUGGCGUCCCCAAAGACAGCUGUGCUGCGGGUCAGCGCGCGCGCAAAGCAAGGGGGCAGUGGGAGGCUCCCGGUGUUCCCCUUUAACGGGAACUACGCCCUAUUUGCGUCGCUGCAGAAGGGUGUGUCCCAGGGUCAGCGUGUGCGGGAGGGCGGGCCUCCCUGAGGAGAGGGGGCAGGCGGGCGGGCGGGGCGCCGACUGCCAGACAGUUACUUGGACUUAAAGACACCCCCGGAAAAACCAGAUCUCUGCAAAACCUCGACUUUUACUUAAAGCUGGAGGACCCUGGGCUUCUCGUCUCUCACCUUCCCUAGAUCUGUGGUACUCGGGCCCUGUUGACCAAUACAUUGCACCUUCGCCCCUGUCCCCUCAGCGCACAUGGAUAAAGAUUGCUAGAUUUCGUACCCACCUCCCUGCCUCACUCCCCAAGUGCGCAGUGCUGGGUUCUCGGGAACACUGAAGUGAACUGUGCCCAUUCGGGGACUGUGUAGCUGGAUCACCUCUCCUACUAGCAGCCAGGACCUCAGGUCUUGGCGCACCUGACCUGCGCUGGGGUCUUAACUGGGCUAGUCUUUAAAACACCCAUCCUCGCUAUCCCUGUUUGUACCUAGAAAGUAUGCUGGUUUACUGGGAUUCGGGGUACAUAUCUAGAGGGCUAGGCUGGGACCCCAAUCCAAGAGAGAAGGGAGGGGAGGAAAAUCCAAGCUUGACGGACGGAUGGACGGACAGACGGACAGAGGGGUGGGGCUCUAGGAUCCGGCUCCUCCUAAGCUUGGCAAAACCAGAUUUUACAACUGCAUAUAAGCUCCAGGCGAAGUUUGCCUGAGGCAAGCUGGCCUGGCUCCCAGCCUUGGCUGGAGUCCUGGCCAUGGGGGUAGGGGUGAGAGAAGUGGCCAUCUGAGGUGCAGGAAGAGCAGCCAGAGAAACUAGCUGAUUCAUAGGCACUUGAGUGUGGCCGCCCAGAGUUAAGAAGGGAGAGGCUAGCCAGCUCUUCUUGGAGAUGUGCCCAACUAACCAUCAGGUCACCUGUAUUGGCUGACUGAGCAAGGAGCCCGUGUGUUAAAGUCUCUACCUGCAUAUCCACACCCUCCCUACCUGUUAAGAGCAGUGAGUCAUAAAGCCCUGGGAGACUCAGAUAGUUCCAUAUUAUUUUGUUUUUUGACAGUAGCCGCUACUUGAGCUAAUUGUAUAUGCUUGCUCAUUACAUAAAAAAAUAAACUUGAAGCAUUCUUCAGACAAUGAUCUUUUAAAAUUUCUCAUCGGAUUAAAAAU
rnacentral:lncRNA from 1 species